GAGAAAGGCUUGGAAACCAGUGAGAUUUCACUUUUCAGCUGCUACAGCUUGACGUUUUGGUGUGGGGUUAUUAUUUCUGUUCAUUAUUUCGAUAUAUUAUUAUUAUUAUUAUUAUUAUUAUUAUUAUUACGUCCAUCCAGCACAACACAUGCACUGCCAGUGACAGAAAGAAAGUGGGACAUGGAUACUUCAUUAUGCAUUAAUAAGGCAUUUGAGGGUUUGUUUGGUGAACCAAAUAUCCAUUCUUUAAUUUUUUUAGGUUGUUGAAUAUUAAAAUUAGGUUCAAAAAGAAAAAAAAAAAGAAGGCACAUCUCUAUUAGUAAUACGUCUUUCGUUUCAGCUUAGACGACUGCAUUUGUUUCCUGUUGCACAUUUGGCUGUUAUGUUACAUAGUGCACGUGUGGAAGAGCCUUUUGUGAUUCAGUCCAUUUGCUGAUAUGACAUCACCAUUACCGUAGAAACAGCCUUAAAUAUGAUUGGCGUUGUCAAGCCUUGGCUCGGCUUGUUUUGAAGAACACUCACGCAGAGUAGCUGCAAUCAAAACAGCGAUUUCAUUCUCGCGCAAAAUUGUUUCGCACGGUCUUUCGCAGUGGUGUUUGUCGGUAAAUGAGACCUUUUAGCUGUACGCAUGUUCGACGCACGUGGAUCGAAGAGGGCUUCGGCUGACAGCGUGCAAUGAUGAUGUCACGUGACGCGCCGUGGCCCAAAUCUGAGGAAAAUCUGCUUGGUUUUGCGUUCAUUUCUGCGAUCGCAGAAUCGUGAAAUCCUGGAGGGACACAUUUCUGGUAUAGAAUUCGGCCGGGAUUUUAGCAGGGUCAUCUCGUACAGGGUAACAAGCAAUCAUCUUAAAAGACUGCUGAGGUUGAAACUACAUGCUAUUAAUUUGGAAGCUUUCUGAGCACCACCGACCGGUCUGUCGGUGUUGGGUCAGGCAAAUGAUUGCGCUGUGGGUUUUCAGUUUUAAUAAUCUUUGGGGGGGGGGUUAUUAAAAAAAAAAGGAAUACUGUAGAUUAAGAACAACUUCCAGUUUAUGAAGCCAUAAUGGACAUAUUGACAUUGUAAGCUGACGUCAGAUAUGAAGAGCAAUGAAGAAAUCAAACAGAUACUCGUCUAUCACUUCUCUCACAGAUUCCUU
ensembl:lncRNA